UAACGGGGUUAAAUUCCCAAUUUAUUUUAAAGAUCCGUAACAUGAAGUCGCCCACAAUCCAAAUCUGAUAUUCCAACUAUUUGCAAAUCGAAGCCAAAAAUUCCCGAUUGGCGAAUCGAAGCCAAAAAUGAAGUCACUCAAUCAAUUCAAACAACCAUUCUUUCUUGGAAUCAAAUUCCACCUUCUUUCGAGUCUACAAUGGUGAAGCACCAUCAAACCACCUCCGCAAACCAAGAACAAGAAGAAGAAGAAGAUAUUUAUAAUAUUCUCCUCCCUAACGUCGGGGACCUUCCUCUUACUCCUCCAUCGGCUGUUCAAUCCAACUUCAUCUCCUAUUUCGCCCCAGAUUUCUUGAAGCCAAGGCACGAUCAGUACGUUUAUCGUCACGCAAACGGAUUAUGCGUGAUCGGUUUGACUUCGACGCAUCUGGCUUUUAAGGAACAAGAAGGAGGAGGUGGAGGCAUCACGGCCGUAGAUUUCAAUGUCGGCAAAUCUAAUAGAAGCGAGAUGAAGGUCACCGGAAAACGCAAGAGGAACCUCAAAUAUUAGAGACGAAUUCGGUUCUUUCCACACAAAACCUCAAAAAAUCAGCUUCUUUCACUCCUCCUAGGGCCUCCAUUUCAUCAGAAUCGAAAUCCAUUGAUGGUACCAAAGGUUCUGUAGCUUUCCUUGCUCCUCUUGAAGCCAUUCUAUUUGAUAUUGAUGGGACUUUGUGUGACUCGGAUCCUCAACAUUAUGAUGCUUUUCGCCUAAUGCUUCAAGAGGGUUCAAUGGUGGAGUUCCCAUUACUGAAGAAUUCUUCAUUAAAAAUAUUAGUAGGAAAUUGGGAUUUCCAAAAAACAAGCACAUUUAUGGAGGAAAAAAAAGGCUUGUUUCAAAGGUAAUACUAUGAAAUUACUGCUAUUCGAACAUUGUUUUUGUUUGCUUGUCUAUAGGACAUGCUGCUUUGCUUUGGGUGUAAAUUUACACAAUCACCAACUUUAAGUAUAUGAUCUAUUUUAUCGUAUGGAUUAUUUAUCAGUGUCGUGGCCUCGUCUAGAAACCUUUGGGCUCUUAUUAUGGAUGUUGACACUGGUUUUUCUUCGCAGGUCUAUGAGUUAUCAACAUUUUUCUUGCAUAAGGAUUGGAUCAUGGAACAAUGGGAAAAGAAUUACUACAUCAGUUCAAUAGUUGGUGCAACUAACGGUAGCUCUUUAGUCGUUAUGUCUGAAGGUACCCCUUACACCGAACAAUCCUACAAAGUAAGUGAAUCUUUUCUAUACAAGUGGAUAAAUAAGAAGUGGAAAGAAGGUUUCCAUGUCACAUCCAUGACAACCGCUGGCAAUUGAUGGGGUUUGGUCAUGUGAGAGGUGGUUUGGAGUUUUGAAUAAUAUACAUUGUGGUCUUAAUUUAAGCUUCUCAAAACUCGGAGUGUUUUUUUGGCUGUUUAAUAAAAUAUCUACGAAUUUUGAAUCUAUUGCA